rnacentral:rRNA from 1 species
AUACGUAGGUGGCGAGCGUUGUCCGGAAUUACUGGGUGUAAAGGGCGUGUAGGCGGGGAAGCAAGUCAGAUGUGAAAUUCCGGGGCUCAACUCCGGCGUUGCAUCUGAAACUGUUUUUCUUGAGUGCUGGAGAGGAAAGCGGAAUUCCUAGUGUAGCGGUGAAAUGCGUAGAUAUUAGGGGGAACACCAGUGGCGAAGGCGGCUUUCUGGGCAGUAACUGACGCUGAGGCGCGAAAGCGUGGGGAGCAAUCAGGAUUAGAUACCCUGGUAGUCCGCGCCGUAAACGAUGGAUACUAGGUGUAGGAGGUAUCGACCCCUUCUGUGCCGGAGUUAACACAAUAAGUAUCCCACCUGGGGAGUACGGCCGCAAGGCUGAA